UGGCCUUGACAUACUAAGAACUUUCCAGAGAUGGAUUGGUGCCUUCGGGAACUUAGAUACAGGUGCUGCAUGGCUGUCGUCAGCUCGUGUCGUGAGAUGUUGGGUUAAGUCCGCAACGAGCGCAACCCUUUUCCUAUUUGCCAGCGGGUAAUGCCGGGAACUUUAAGGAUACUGCCAGUGACAAACUGGAGGAAGGCGGGGACGACGUCAAGUCAUCAUGGCCCUUACGGCCAGGGCUACACACGUGCUACAAUGGUCGGUACAAAGGGUUGCUACCUCGCGAGAGGAUGCUAAUCUCAAAAAGCCGAUCGUAGUCCGGAUCGCAGUCUGCAACUCGACUGCGUGAAGUCGGAAUCGCUAGUAAUCGCGGAUCAGAAUGCCGCGGUGAAUACGUUCCCGGGCCUUGUACACACCGCCCGUCACACCAUGGGAGUUUGUUGCACCAGAAGUAGGUAGUCUAACCGCAAGGAGGACGCUUACCACGGUGUGGCCGAUGACUGGGGUGAAGUCGUAACAAGGUAAGCGUAGAUGA
rnacentral:rRNA from 1 species